rnacentral:rRNA from 1 species
UACGAAGGGGGCUAGCGUUGCUCGGAAUCACUGGGCGUAAAGGGUGCGUAGGCGGGUCUUUAAGUCAGGGGUGAAAUCCUGGAGCUCAACUCCAGAACUGCCUUUGAUACUGGCGAGCUUGAGUUCGGGAGAGGUGAGUGGAACUGCGAGUGUAGAGGUGAAAAUUCGUAGAUAUUCGCAAGAACACCAGUGGCGAAGGCGGCUGACUGGUCCGGUUCUGACGCUGAGGGCGCGAAAAGCGUGGGGGAGCAAACAGG